rnacentral:lncRNA from 1 species
AGAUCUGUCCACCGCCACGACCGCCGCCACCGAGACACAGUCGCCUGAUCUGCCACCUGAGGAAGAGAGAAGACAGAAAAAAAUCAGACCAGGAGAAAGAGAGAAAAACAGAAGGAGAGCAGAUCUAAAAAGGGGGAGGAAGAACCGAAACUUUGCUUGCGUUUUUUCUUCUUUGCAGGUGACGUUACUCCUCACUGGCGGCGCAGGAGGGAAGAGGAGACGGAGUAGAGCCAGAUCCAACUGGUGUUCGGGUCUGUCUGCAGCGGCGCGUGGGUCCACGCGCCGCCAGUGGUGGAGGCGCGUGGGGCAGACGCGCCGCCACUGUUUCCGGCUUGUAGAAGGCCAUCCCUGUAAUUUCAGAUUGUUUUGGGGCUAAUUUUUGUAAUUUUAAAAUUGUUUAAUGUAUUUUUUUUGUUUAGUUUUUGAUUUUUUAAUUUGUAGUGUUGAUGUAACAAAAAAAAAAAGAAAAAAGAAAAAAGAAAAGUAUAGUGAAAAGGAAAUGUGUGAUUUGUAUUUUGUUUAUGAAUGUUUUUUUUGUAUGAUAGAAUUGCAAGGAUGAAGAAGAAUUUAAUAUUUUGAUUUGCUCACGGAUAAA